rnacentral:rRNA from 1 species
AUUGAACGCUGGCGGCAUGCCUUACGCAUGCAAGUCGAACGGCAGCACGGGUGCUUGCACCUGGUGGCGAGUGGCGAACGGGUGAGUAAUAUAUCGGAACGUACCUUAUUGUGGGGGAUAACGCAGCGAAAGCUGUGCUAAUACCGCAUAAUCCCUAAGGGGGAAAGCGGGGGACCGUAAGGCCUCGCGCAAUUAGAGCGGCCGAUACCUGAUUAGCUAGUUGGUGAGGUAAAGGCUCACCAAGGCAACGAUCAGUAGCUGGUCUGAGAGGACGAUCAGCCACACUGGGACUGAGACACGGCCCAGACUCCUACGGGAGGCAGCAGUGGGGAAUUUUGGACAAUGGGCGCAAGCCUGAUCCAGCAACGCCGCGUGGAGGAUGAAGGUCUUCGGAUCGUAAACUCCUGUCAGGUGGGACGAAGGUUGCGGGGUGAAUAAUCUCGUAGCUUGACGGUACCACCAGAGGAAGCCCCGGCUAACUCCGUGCCAGCCGCCGCCGUAA